rnacentral:rRNA from 1 species
UACAGAGGUCCCGAGCGUUGUUCGGAUUCACUGGGCGUAAAGGGUGCGCAGGUGGGUUGGCAAGUUUGAUGUGAAAGCCCCGGGCUUAACCCGGGAAUGGCAUUGAAUACUGCUGAUCUGGAGGAUCGGAGGGGGGACUGGAAUUCUUGGUGUAGCAGUGAAAUGCGUAGAUAUCAAGAGGAACACCAGUGGCGAAGGCGAGUCCCUGGACGAUACCUGACACUGAGGCACGAAAGCCGGGGGAGCAAACAGG